rnacentral:lncRNA from 1 species
GCCUUGAGAAGCCAAAAUGAGGAAGUCACUGAAAAGUUUAGUAAGGAUAAUCCACUACUCUAAAAAAGAAAUUUCAUUUUCAUUUUAUUGAGUACUUCCAUAUUGAUGCUCCAAAAUCUCAAUCUGUAUACUUCAAUUUCAUUUGAGGUGACAUCACAGGUAACAUGAAUGUUUAGAGGUAUGUGGGACUACCAUUACUUCAGAAGAUGUGAGAUGAUACAGUACGUUACAUAUUGCAAUUCCUUUGUGAAGCUACAGCAGUGCUUGUUGAUCAUAAUUCUUCUUUUCCUUGAUAACCUAAUAUGUACUCAUCUUAGUCUAUCCACAUUUCACCUCCAUGAGCAUUUUGUGCUUGGAGAUCAAAGUUUUGAGUACGAAAUGGACAUUCGAACAAUCUUGACAGGUAUUUUACCUUUUCACAACUAAAUCUAGAUAUAAUGGACAAUAACAGUGUGAAAUCAAGUAAUCUGUGACAAACAACUUGUCUUUCAAGUCCACCAUGUUACUAAACUAUAUAUCACGAGCCCCUUGUACUCUUUGGCUUUGAUUUGUAUAUGUGACCUUAGUCCUGUAUAAUAGAGUGGGGAUCACCAUCCCAUCCAAAUAAGGUUGCAGAAUACAAGUGCAUGAACAUUAUUUAGCUUCCCAAGGACAACUAGCAAGACAACUUCAAUUCUCGUAGAAUAAUUAUAGACCAAUAUAUAUCAACGUAUCUUUUCAACUAUGUGUUUGUUCUUUUCUCUAAAACACAGAAGAGUUGUGCCUUAUUAUAUUAAGAAGAAAAAUGGCAAGAUCCCAAACAAUCCUCCCCGCCCACACACACCACACACACACACACACACAUCCCAAUAGAAAUGUUACAUUCAAUUCGUGGCAGUAAGAAAACACAGAAGGUGACAACUACUAGGCUAGUUAUUUCUAACUACUAGGGAGGAGGCAGUCAAGAAUGAAAACCCUCGAGCCCCAGCCAUAGACCAUACAUAGCGCUCCUCAUCGGCUAUGACCAGAGCGCCAACAUGGUUCGGAGUUGCUCCAUCAAAGACACACCUAAUCAACCUCAGUCUGUUACCCUCAAGUUAUAUCAAACCAGUGCGUAUCAUUUUCAAACCAUGUGGAGAAAAGGAGAGAUGACACCUAAAGUAGCGUCAAUCCUAAAGAAAUAUGAGAAUAGUUGGAAGAUGAUGAAAGUUGCCAAUUGAAUUAGCUCUGGAGAAGGAUGCCAAACCAUGAACAUAAAGAGGAAGAAACUGGAAGAAUGCAUACUUCUACAGAACAAAUGCCAGGCAAGAAACAUCAUUUCUACAAUCCUUGGUCUGAAAGUAGUUAUCGCAGGAACUGGAUGACAGAUGCUGUUAGAGCAACUGGAUUCUUCCAAGAUACAGAGUACUUCUCUCAGUUUGGGUGGUAUGUGGUUGAUAACCAUUGAUUUUUCAAGUUCCUGCAUGCCACAGUAUGGAGUCCAUGGGAAUGAUGCAGUCAGAUUUAGGCUUCAUACUCUGCGCUUCUUCACAAAAUGUGUUUGACACACAUAUAGCAGGCUACAAUUAUCAUAUAAAGCUACCCUUAAAGUCGGACCCUUAUAGGGGCUAUACAAUUUGUUCUUAAACCAUACUAUAUUCAUGAUUUUAGAAUGUGUACGUCCUAAUCACAAUUUGAAUUAGUCAAAUGUGCGCUGCUAAAUAUAAUUGGAAUUUGUUUUUGCUCCAGCUUGCUUGCCUGAGCAAACAUUCUCAUAACUUUUAAUUCCGACAUGUUCGAUCUCUUACAGAGUUACAGUUUGUACUCCUACAUGGGCCCAGAUUUCAUCUUGAGUGCAGAUGGUUAUAUGGUCACCCCUCAUGACGCACGAGAUUCAGUGGCAUUCCACAUGCUGAUUCGACUUCAACAAAAGGCAAGGGAAGACUAGGAGUGCAGCAUGUCUCGAGACAACCCCUGAUGCUGCAUCCCUGCUGAUACAAAUCAUCAUGAUCAUUUGACUAUAACGAAGACAUUCAGAUUAUUUAGUGCAGCAUUGUUGCAAACAGAGGCAUUAAGCACGCUUGUGUGUUCAUGGCAUGUCCAUGUGUGGAUUUCAUCGUUUUUGUGACUUGUAGACGAAGCAGCAUAGGCAUAUGUAACUUGAUCUGGAUAGCUACAACAUCGUCGGUUGAUUUGCUACAUGUUGUUGUUGUCUCUAGCACUGUUGUAUGGCAUGCAGGCAGGCUUCUAGUUGUGGUCGCAAGUUUUGUUCGUAAUGCAGUCUCAGUCAUGCUCUUGUUCUAGUUUAUGUUGGUGCUUCUGCGUUUCUUUUCAUGUUUUUUCUCAGUGGUUUAUCAUUAGUGCUAUGGUGAGUGUAGGCUCACCAAUGUAUUGUGAUAGCUUUCCUCAAAAAUUAAGUGCCCAAGCAUGGUUUUGAAAAAAAAAAAAUGCCAUCCACAAAAGGUCAAGCAAGAAUGUAGUACCAUUAAAUUCAUUUUGCUUCAUUAUAAACCAUUUGAGGUGUUCAUAUUUUAAGGGUGUUGGUGAUAAAUUUCUCGUCCUUUCCACAUGCAUCAUCUUUGCAGUGCGUGAUAUAUCAUACCUACGCUUAAUCUCUUGUAGACAUUAAACUAGAUACAGAAGCUAUAAUAUUCAUUUAUAAAUAAACGAGUCCAAAAAAAAGAUCGAAAAACAGCUAUAAUAGGCCACAUUUAUUUAAUGGGGAAACAAUAUAUGUUGGCACAACACGUCCAUAUAAAUUUGCUAACCGGCUGGGAAGCAACUCACGCCAAUCAUAUCUUUGCUAUUUCCAUGAUCAAUAAAAACUAGAGCAGAGAGUUCAAGGAUGCAGGAGAUUGUGGGACUCGUGGCAACUAGAGAUUUGAUUGCUUUGGUUGGAAUGGGUGAACUCAAUAACUAAAACUAUCUCCAACAAUAACACACAAAAUACAAGACUCAUUCAACAUUUAGAUAGUGCAACAAGCAAAAGGGUUCAAUACCCAUUCGAGAUAUUCUCCAACAACAAAACCCAAAAGAGAAUCCUUUCUGCACAUGGCUUUCCAGAAGAGAGGAUACUCAUAUUUAGGUUGUGCCUCUAGGCAACCUAAAAUUGGUCUGUAUAGGUACUCUGUUGGAAGCUAAUUUUAGGUCUCCUACUACCCAUGUUGGGUUUAGGUGCUCAUAUAUGGGUCACUUGUUGGAGACAGUCUAAAGAAGUGCAGUUAAUUUUCUUCAUCUUAUCCUUCUUGUCUUGUUACCUAACCAACAAACAAGCCAACCAAUGGUUAAGGGGAUGUUGGUUUGCGGGUAGGCCCGCAUCACUUGCAUCCUAACUUGGGGCAUUCGGAAUCCUUGGCUUCUACAAGCUGAUCCAUAACAUCGUUUCACUUAGUGUUGAUAUCACACAGCCGCCGGUGAACAUGCCACUCCUUUCCUUCCACAACCCGUUGCUAGCUGAUGGCGCUUGGGAAGAAGGCGCUGGGUAGCAAGAAGAUGCCUUCCCACCCUACGGUUCUUCCACCAGAUCCUGUGGCAAGACCCCCCUCCCACGAGCAAGAUGAUGGCGCCACGGAAGAAGACUCUCGAUAGCAGGAACACGCCUCCCCCCCUUCUAAGGUCCUUCCAGAUCACGCGGCCGCUAUGGAGAUCCUAGGUCCUUCCAGAUCACGCGGCCGCUAUGGAGAUCCUUCUCUAGACGCGUCACUAAUUAGUAUUUCUGGCAUAGUGCUGGUUUGCGGCUGCAGCCACUUGCCCCUCAGUUGUUUCCUCCAAAUAGGGAACCAUAGUACCUACCAUCAAGUAACCAGGACAGCUAUGACGGGAGGAAGUGGGAUCACGGGAGGCCGCAAACUUCCAAUGAUGUGACUUUUCGGUUUCAUCUUUUUGUGAAACUUCAUUUUCUUGAUUUAAUGAAACCCAAAUGGUAUUCUUAACAUUGAAUGGAGCUGAUUAAAAUUGUUCCCCGAUAAUAACUUGGCCUAGAAGUACUACAAUUUGAUGCUUGCCCAUGGUUACAACUGUAACUCCAAGAGAAAAAAAUCUCCAACAAGUCAAUCUCUACUAGCUCUAAGCAUACAUUUUCACUGUGGUCAGAGACAGUAAACUUGUAGCAGCAGUGGCCACCCUUUCUUCCAUCAGGCAAUUGAUGAUGGAACAAGGGAGGGAGGCACCUCAUGGCAUCAGUCUUGGCCGCCAGCUCAUCCCUGUCUCCCAGCAUGUGCCACCAGGUUCCAAGAACCUUGCCAAAAAUACGAUUUUUCUGUGUACUCUACAACUUUUGAGCCACGAGGUCCAAACAACAUUGCCACCAGUUAUGAAUUGUUUUUAUUCUACAACUUUGCAGCGUUUGUUUUUGUUUGACUUGAUUUAGAAAACUUAUGAUUUUUUUGUGUUACUAGUCUUUUUAGAAGCAGGUGAUAUUACCUAACAUGGAUGAAAUAUAAUUUUCAGAGGCGGUUAAUGUUAGUAACCAAUGGAGGGCAAUUUUAUUAGCAUACAGCCACCGUAGAAAUUGAUUGCCGAGGACGGUCUAUCUCUGGAACCAUUUAUAGAGGAGUUUUUUUUUUAUCGUCACAGCCUAAAGAAAAAAUAUCUCUAAAAAUUGCCUCACGGGUUGAACGGCUGAGUCCUCAGAAACUAUUAAAUUUUCUACUGAAUGGAAAUUACUGUGCAUACAACUUUUUUUUACAAACAUACGUUGGCACAUGUUUCUUUGAGAGGACAAGAACACAUUGAAUAUAUAUAUACAACCUUAACGACCAACCUCAAGCUCAUUACAAACAGGACAUUUUGCUGCUACCAAAAUAAAUCUGACACAGCUUAUUAAAUUCACUGCAAGACCAUCAGCGAUGUGAGAAUUCCAAAACCAUGCGCUGUCAAUCCAUCCAUUGAUCCCUUCCUCCAUUAUGGGCUCUAUAUAUAACUUGUUGAGCCAUUGCUGCUGUUGUUGGAAUACAGGAAGAUUUUGCAUGUAAUAAAAUUUUCCUUUCAUUAUAUAUUGCUUAUGGGUUUGUGGCAUGUAAAUUGCUGGCUAAACUAAGUCAACCUCUUUCCCCUUCUAUUGCCUUAAUAUGCAAAAAAAAUCCUAUAAAAACCUUUGUUAGCGUUGGUCAACUUGCCAUCAGCAUCCAUGUCUUCUUCCACAAUGCAAAACCCUUUUGUUGUAUUUAAACCUUUUUACGAUUUUAUGGGUCCUAUCCCUUUCAGCUUAUUCCAUUUUCUAAAAUCCCAUAUGGAAAACAUCCAAAUAAAAACACUCGCAUCAUGUCUUUGAAACAUCAAGCCUAGGGAUUAACCAUAGUUUUUCUUUCAUUUGCAGAACUGUACUGUAAAUGAAUGAAUGAGUGAUUGACUACAUGGACUUGAGAUUCAAUUCCCCAAAUAGAAUAGAAAUGAAAAGCAUUCUACCAAAUUUGCGAUGAAAACUAACAUCGAACAAUGCAAACUAACAUCAACUGCUAUAAGUUGCAAAAUGUAUGUUUUCUUUUAGCCAUCACCUUUUCCUUUGCAUCCACAUUCAGUUCUUGUUCACUCCUUGAUCCAUGUUCACAGGAAUCACAAUGCCAUGGCUGUUUUUUUUGUUUUUUUAGGAAACUGGAGGGGGCAUAUAUAUAUACUUCAUACAGGAGUUCCCAUCAGGUUUUUAAACUUUGUGAUGUCGGGUAUCUAUGAGGACGCCAUGGACCAGACGACACGUGGGUGCUGUUAAUGGAUGGGUAGCAAAUAUCCAGAAAGGACAGACUUCACUAUAAAAGGGCUCCUAACAGGAGAACAUGCAUGAAACAACAGAAGAUGCAUGCAUGGCCGCGUGGAUGGGCUGCUUUCAGCAGGAAGAAACACAGCUAUAGAGAGGAGCAGAUAGAAAUAGGAGGCACGAGGAAUCAUACAGAAAGGAAUAUAUUGACAAGAAGAUGCGCCCUGGAUAAUUUUCCUUAUUAAUUAGGAUUCCAAAUAAGAUCCACCCAGCAGGUUUGCUGUUUCUGUUGUCGCGGUGUGCCACUGGCUGUGCUGGCUAGUUGCAGGGUUGCCUUCUAUAUAUACAGUAGUCGCCUAGAGAUAGGUCGACUCCUCGUACCUGCUUGCAUGUCCAUUCUUUCCUGGUCCCUGCAGGUUAUCUCUAGUUCCCUAAGCAACAAGGCAACGACGCCAGUGUUGAAUAAUUCAUUCAUGUAAUACUGUGUCUCUUGUAUUUCUCAGUGUUAGUCCACAAACAACUUAGGACAUGUAUACAACACGUCUCUCAUAUUUCUUUGUUUCAAUAGCGCUGUCAUAUGUGCACCAAAUCAUAAUAGGACUGCAUUAGCUUACUUCAAAAAUUUAUAGUUUUUUAGCUGAUACAUAACCUACAAAAAUGUCACAACUGAAACACUAAAGCGAUUUUAACUCCCUAAUAGAAGUUUUGUUGGUGUUAAAACUUUUACUGUAGUGUCACACACUGAUGACGAACUUGUUUAAAUCUUGUUGGAUAUACUGAGUACUAAUAAUUUUGUACAAAAAUACACUAAUGGUUCCACAAAAUAAAAUAGACAAUGAGAAUUCAAGAUGUAACAAGUGUUUUAUCACUAGGAGGGUUCCACAAGGGUUGCCUUCUCUCACCAUGUUCGUGCCCCUUGCUCUCCAUCAUUUCUUCUUCCUAAAAUCCUGCUCCCGUGCAGUGCAGCCCAGCAUGAAUGCAUUCCCCAUGGAAGCCAACUUCCAAUUUCAAAGAGUAUGAAAUCGUCUACAAGCCAUGCUCAUGAAGCUCCAAGUCAGUUUGGCAGCAGUGGAGGCUCGAGGACUCAAAUCAUCGGCAGCCUAGGCACACUAGUACAGUGCUCGAAGCCAGCGGUGGAACAUAUCUUUUAUAGGCGGUUUCAAUUAAAGACGCCUAUGGAAACACAUUGGCUUACCCGACUAAAAAACCGCUAAAUCAAUUUUUACAGGCGGUUUUCUAACAAAACUUCCUGUAGAAAUCAUAUAUUUCUACAGGCGGUUCUCCUAAGAAACCGCCUGUAAAAAUCAUAUUUCUACAGGUGAUUUCUUAAAAACUGCCUGUACAAAUAAUUUGAAUUUGAAUUUUUUGAGCUUUUCAAAUGACCUCGUUUGAAAAAACCGUCAAAAUGAAAGUUGUAGAUCUUGAAAAGUUAUCAAACUUUGUUUGAUAAUUUUUCAUUUGAAAUCGUCUUAUCAUCGAAAACUACGUUUAAAUUUCUCAAAUUUGAAAUUCAAAUUUUAUAAAUGACCUCGGAUGGAGAAACUACCAAUAUAAAAGUUAUAGAUCUUAAAAAGUUGUAAAACUUUAUAGUUGACGAUUUUUCCAUUUGAAUCCGUUUUGGACCUAAAGUAAUCAAUGUAUACUUGAUUUAGGAUAAUAUGUGGGGAACUAAACUCUAAUAUAGACACAACUAAGUGAUCGGUGGAGUGGUACACGAGGCUACACGCGAGGGUGAGGUCUCAGGUUCGAAUCCCACCGGCCGCGUAGCACGCGAUUCUACGUGACCUGCCAGUGGGCCUUUCCCAAGAUUAAAAUCUUUUAAUUUCUUAUUUUCAAAAGCCGAUUUCAUAUUUUCUAAAAAAAAUUUCCACAGGUGGUUGACAUAACUGAACCGCUUUUCCACAGGAGGUUCUCAGUUACCCGCUUUUCCACAGCUGAGUUGAAUCACGGCGGCCAUGGCGGACCACCGUGACGGGAACCCAGCCUUGUGGCCAAUCUCGGUGAGGAGAAGCAACGCGAGCGAGUCGAGGAGAAGCGCAAAGAGCAUGCGAGGAUGUGUGCAUGAGCAAUUGAAUUGGAAGCAAGCAUGGACGAUGAAUUUGGUCGGCUACGAGAUGAGUACGGUGGUGGGCUGAGAACAGACAAAGGGAGGAGUGGCAGUGGCUUGGCGACUUAACAGUGUGAGCAAAGCUUCUGGGCGUUGCCACCACCAGCAUGGGCUCGCCAGGCAGGCAGCUGCGUGCAGCUCAUGCGCAAGGCAGUGCUAAGGUGGUGGUGGUCACGACGGCGAGCAGCCGAGCAGGCAGCUGAUGGUGAAGAGUUGAAGCUUCAUCUUCUCUCCCCCUUUUCUCAAGAUUUUCAAAAGAACAUGAUGAUCAGGUUCAAGCAAACAUGUCUCUGAGCUUAACAAACUUGCUUAAAGGAUCGACAUGAAAAUCUUGAUAGAUUGGAAGAUUUUAGAUUUUAAAAGAGAUACUUGAAACUGAAAACCAAACUUUCAGUUAGCGUUUUAAAAUUAUUUUUAGUUAGCAUCUUUGAUCAAUUAAUUAGUGGUCAACCAUCUAUCCAAAAUAACAAUCAAAUGCACCAUCUAUCAACAGGAGGGGUGGCUCCCUACUGAAAUUUAUUUAAGUAUGUGUGGUGGAGAUGACACUACAAUGAGUCAAAUCUAGAUAUCAAGUUUGCAGAGGCCUGUCACACUGUUGACCAUCUGAUGUCUAAGCGACUAGCAGAUCUAAUUGAAUGAGACAAGCAGUACUUUCUUUGUAACAUGAUUAAUCUGUGCCAUGAUUCUGCUUUUGUGUGCCAAGACAACCACUCUGAUGAGCACAAUACUUAUGCUUUGGGGAUAGCCUUGUGUAUGCCUUGGUACCCUCGAUGGCCUCGUGCACAUUCUUCGUAUUUCACCUGUAACCUAUCCUGAUCCGGAUUACUCUAAUAAUUCUGACAUCUUCCGUUCAUAGAGAGUUGAGUUCAGAGUGGUAGUGCCUCUUACAGUAGCCUGCACAGAUUUGCAUCCUUGUAACUUGGAAUAUCAAUAUUUUUUCUGCUGUAUAUAUACUAGUGCUAUUCUAGGUGUAGAGUACUAUUUCGAUAGCUUUGAUCCUCUCUUGCACGAUACUUUCCAGAAAAGAAAACCCAAGUUUAUGAUGCCUCACAAGGUCUGGUAUCCCCCAACUCUACUCAAGGUGGUUAAGAAGCAAGGCAUUCAAGUCCAAGAAAUUGAGAGCGCGGUGACUACCUGACCAACCUGAAGUUGACUAAAAAGAAGGGCCGGGGCGAUUGUCAAUGUCUCAGCUCAGGAGCAGAAUGCUCUGGCAACUUUAUGUAAGGCAGAGUUCGGUUUUUUGGGGUUGAUAGUGGAAAAAUCCACAGAUAAGUCAUCCUUACUGGGGAGGCGGCGAGUUAGUAGCUGUAGGCGGCAAAGCAACUUUGUUACCUAUUCUAUUAGGAACCGCAGAUUUUUUAGUCCAUCACAUUCACGCAUUUACCAUCCAUGUGACUGUAUUAAUACUUUUGACAGGUGUUUUAUUUGCUUGCAGUUCCCGUCUGAAACCUGAUAAAGCAAAUCUUGGCUUUCGCUUCCCUUGCGCCGGACCUGGGCAAGGGGGAACAUGUCAAGUAUCCGCUCCGGAUCAUGUUUUCUUGGGUCUAUUUCAGGGUCCUGGGUGUAGUCAUAAAUGGUACUGAACGUUGUUCGUACUGCUCAAUAUUUUUUCUGCUUAGUUUUGACUUACACCUAGGGUGUAGAAUAGCACUGGUAUAUAUAACUUGUAUGUACAAAUUAUAGACUAGCUUGCACGUAGACAUAUAUCAAGCUUUUACAUGUGCUUUCGACUUGGUGAUCACCCUAGCCAAGCUUGGUGAAGUUGAAAGCUUAGUAGACGAUGGUAUGGGCACCUUCAUAAGCUACAGUUACUCUUAUAUUGGACUGUCUAUUCACGAGAGUGAGACUAGACUUCUGGGAUGAUUACCUCUUGUAUAAAUGUUGUAACUUACGUUUGCUAUUGAAUCACAGUCCUUAAUAUAAAGUUGUUUUAUGCAAAUCUGGUUUAUGAUCUCCAUGUUAUAUAAUUUUCGAUUUUAGGGGUUCACAAAGUGAUAAUCUACAACUUGAUCCUGUGGUUAAAACUGGCAAGAGGAGGUUGCUAGCUCCAAUUUAAUGAUGAGAAAGAGAUAUAUGAGAAGAAAUUAAUAGACAUACCUAAGAAAAGAUAGAGAUAUAGAGAAGAAAUAGAGAAAGUGAUAGACAAAGAGAGACGAUAGGGAUAGGUAUAUAGAGAAGAAAAGAUAUAGAAAUAGAUAGCAAAAUAAACUAAAUUAAUGUCUUUUCAUGUCGUAUUGGUCUCUCUCUCUAUAUAUGUCAUUUAACAACUCAAGGCAUGAUGGUGUAAGGAUUAGGUCAGAUGAUUGACGGCAAAACAUGAAUAUGACUGACUGGUGCAAAGCCUUGGUACUUACAUUGCCUCUCUUUAUAUUCCUUGCACAAUGUAAGUUUCUCAUCCGCAGCAACUCGUUACCUUCAAAUUGGUUAUUGAUAUGCAUAUAUAUACUACAUCCUCAUUUACACAUAAUCUAUCUCAGGUCGUCCUCAUGAGGACAUCCAUGUUGGAAGUUCAAGGGGGCGAGCUGCUUUGAGCCUACUCGGAGAUCGAGAAACAUGUUUCUUGAAGCACCAAAAUAAUAGAGUUGUCUACUGCUGCCGUCAACACCCAACUACAUGUUAUGAAACAUUUCAGUGGUGUCUGGCCGUAUGCUACAAUCAUAAUUGCAAGUGGUCAGCUGCCCAUCCCGCCAAUGAUGCCUAAUCUGUGCAAUCUUCUCAAGGCCAUAUCACGAUGGUCUUAAAACCGUCAUUGUUAACAUAAAUAAUGUACUCCAGAAUGAUUGGUACUAUUAAUUGAAAGUUCUAUGCUUGUCCAUUGUUUUAAUUUGUUUCAUCAUUGUCCACUUUAGAUUUUCCCUUAUUACAAUUGUCAUGCAGAAAAUAUUAAUGAUACUAAUUGGAGAUCUCCAUCAAAUGUUCCAUGUUAGUCUCAUAGACCCACUAGGAAAAAAAGAAUUCAAAAAAUUCUGACAAUGACUAGAACAUUCUAACCUUAAUUCAGUAGACUAAUGGUCAUCAUCCAAAAACAUGUUUGUACCGUUGUAAACAUACAUAAAGCAACCUCUAAGUUUAUUACCCAUGUCUAUCAUUUUGUAGGCUAAUCUAUGGGGAACAAACCCGCCUGACAUGUAAAUUUUGUGAACAAUAAUGUUGCCACCACUUUAUCGGAUGAAGAAAUGUCCAAAACAAAAGUUAUAGAUCUUGAUAAGUUCUAAAAACCUCUAAGUUCAUGACUUUUUCAGCUGAAAUCAUUUAGUGUUCUAAAACGAUGUUGAAGUUUCUAUUUUUGAAAUUCAAAAUUCAAAUAGAUAAAACAAAAUCACAUAUAAUGAUGGAUAAAAUAAUAGAUUUAAGAACAUAACAAAAUUGCUAGAGCAUGAUUUUAGAUUUUAUAGAAAGAAUCAUUAAAUUUGAAGUUAGUAUGCAGAAGAAAAACUAGUUACUAGUCUUAGGCAGAGAUUAAAAACGGAAACCAUAGUUCUUCAACAGUUUUAAAGUUUAAUUUCAAACAAUAUUUUGAAGUAGUAAGUGAUGUCAAAUGAAAAUGUUAUCAAUUACAAACUUUCAUAACUUUUUGAGGUCUAUAAUUUUUAUUAUAGGUGUUUAUCCAUUCGAGAUCGUUUUGAAAAUUCAAAUUUUAAAUUUUAGAUAACGAAAUUAAUUUUCGUUAGACAGAAGAUUACAAAUAAAAAUAUUUGGAGAUCCAAAUGUUCUCAAAUUGAAAAAAUUUUGAACUUCGAAGUUGUAGAUCUCGUCGAGGACUACAACUUUGAUAUAAAGUUUGUCUUCAUUGGACAUCAUAUGAGAAACUUAAUAAAUUUUCUUGCAGCAUCACCGUCGGUUCAAGCCACGAACCAACAGUGAUCCAUUAUCACCGCCGGUUCUUACUUAAAACCUAGUGAUGUGAACUGACAGUGAAGACCCAAAUAUCACUGUUGGUUGGUCAUAUUACUGCUGUCAUAAGCCAAAAACCGGCAAUGAUGUACCGUGAAAGACUAUAGAUUUUGGUAGUGUGGUGCCCCCUCCAGAGGCUCACGCGCACGGGAGCAUGAGCCUCCCUCUACCGGCUCACUCACCUAGUUGAGGUCAGGGCCCCCGGUUUUGAGUAGUUGUGCACCCCGGCAACAAGGGGCCACGUGCCUUGACGGCAUGAGGCCGUGCGCGCCGACGGCUGGUUGCUGGGUAGUCCACUAGCAAGGGCCGCCGCACGCCCGGCGGCUACAGAGGCUGUGGCGGUGGAUCAGGCAGCAGGUGAAGCAACAGGCGAGAUGGGGCACAUUCGACGUAGGCGCGCUGUGGCCUGGCGACGAGCGCACAGACGGAUCAAGGCACCAGCGCGGCGGAUCUGGCAUAGGCGUUGCGAGCCAAGCUCCAAGGCAGUAGAUCCACGCGUGGCAGGCAGACCAAGGUGGGGGACACAAGGCGGCAGCACACUGGCUUCCCUCUCUGGUAACGCUGCUCCCCUUACUGGUGAUGGAUGCAGCCACGACAUGAGGCCUAGAUCGAGGCCCCAUCCAGGCUUGGUCUAGGUUUUAGGAUUUUUUUCAUUUUUAUUUGUAUUAACCAUUUUGGGCAAGUGAAUUGCCUCGAUAAAUUUUGAUUUAUCUGUGACCAUAAUGCUAAGACAUUUGCAAAAAAAACUGCCUCAGUUAAUGCUUUUUCGCCCUCCUUGCUUAAUCUUUUAUGUAGCAGUGAACUUAGAGACACCACAGCCAUAACCAAGCAAGGGAAGGAGGCCAUGCCCGGAUGCACUGUCACGCCACAUGAUGGAGGAGAGGGUCGAGUAUAGUGUGCCAUGUGUCAGAGGAGGAGGGGAGCAGGCCCCGGGAGAAGAUGCCACUUGUAGAGCACCUGGCGCGCCGCCACCUGUGGAGGGCCAUGCCCCAUGUGCUGCCACCACCAUUAGACGAGGAGGCAGGCCACACGCGCCAUGUGUUAGUGUAGGAGGGGGCUAACCCCCCCCCCCCCCCCCGAGAUGCUGCCGCUAGAGGAGGAGCCAGGUCCCAUGCGCUGCUGCCACCGGAGGUGGGAUGAGACACGUGAGACACUGCUAUUGGAGGAGCCAAGACCCUCGAGCUUCCCCCGCCAGAGAAGCAAUAGGUCCCACACGUGGUGCGCCAUGGAGACCGUGGCCACCGCCGCCGCCUCAUGGGAGGCCAUGUGCCGCUGCGGCUGCAGGCUGCGCUCGAGCUUAGGAUGUAGGAGGACAGGGCUCCAAACCCCAAGCCUUUUUGGGCCAUGCUCAAGAUUCACGAUGGAGAUUUGCAUGUGAAUUAAAACUGCCCAAGACUGAAAAGGCAGCCGUCGCAGUGGAGCCCGUCCGACGUACCUGACUACGUGACUACCUCGAGCGGAGACUCAGACAAAAAGCUUAUUUCCAGUACUACAAUCCAAACGCAAGCACAAGGGUGAAUAGCCUUUGGCUGCGGCCAACUCCUCAUGACAUGUCCCCUGUUGGACGAAAUAGUGUUUCCCUUUUCCGCCCCCAUGGCACCCAGCACCCUGCACAAAACAGCGGUCUCGCCUUCCAAUUCCUGCCAUCUCACUCCCAGGUGCCCACCUCCUGCCAGAAGCAGCGGCGACCCAUAAAGCCCCAACUACCCCCGCAGCACAAAACCCUAGCAGAGGCAGCGCGGGAUGCUGCUUGGGUUCCGGUGAUCUUGUGGAGGUAGAAGGCAGCGAAGCCAGUAGCGGUGAGGGGGUAAUGAAGCUGGAGGAUGCGGUGGAGCUGCUAGUAGUGUCGGCGCUACCGCUCGGCAAGGUCAUCGACCGGGAGGAGGCCCUGUGGUGUGAGACCCAGGAAGCCGUGGCGCGCCAGGUGAGCAAGCUUGUGCUUGACACAUAUAUCCCUCCUUUUUGCGGGUUGUGAUUGUGACGAGGUUGCGGUGGAUUGGGGUUGAGGAACGGACCAUGGCGCUUGCUUGCGCCUCCUCCCCAUUCUGGGGGUGGAUUUGGGUUGAGAAAAUCAUCCAUCUGCCGAGCAAAAGCAUAGCUCAGCGCUGCCGAUCUCCCGAUUCAGCCAUGGGCAACCUCAAUCGAACUUGGCAGGGUUCUGUUCUGACUCGGUUGUGGUGGAUUUGGAUUUUCAUGAUGCGAUUUGUUCCAUGGAUUUGGUCGCACGACGUGCUACUGCUACGUACUUGGGGUUGGGGCAUCCGGAUGCAAGCGCUGCCUGGAAAUAUUUUAUGCAGGCUGUGCGGGUGCCGUGGCAGGGGCAAAAGUGGGCUUGGUCGCCAGUGCCCUGAAACUAGUGUAGCAGGGGUGGCUGGGGCUGUGAGGGAAGGUUGGUGCAGUGACCAGCUCUAGGUCGGCCGUGGAGGAGGACUCGACGGCAACACACAUCAGACCAGCACGGAAUCUCGGCAGUUGAUAGACUUUUCUUUUAUGGCAACGGCAGAGACUUCGCCUGUUUGCCACUUAAUGUUAGCACGAUGGCCUGAUUCAGUCUGCAAUAGAAAAACAAGUGGCCCACUGUUCUCCAACAGGUCUUUUUUUGGGGCGGGCUAAGGACGUGCUGGUUUGUGGGCAGGCUCGCGUCACUUGCUUCCUAACUGUAUUCAGAAUCCUAGGCUUCCAUAACAUUGUUUCGCUUAGUGUUGAUCACACACUUUUUUCUUCUUUCUUUCUUUUUUAUUUUUGCAAUUGUUUAUCGAGCUGCAGCUUUUGUAGUUGCUCCACCAUAAUAUAUGGAGCUUAUAUAUUAUGUCUUAUUUGUUUCAUGCUUCUGGGUUUUGGAAUUCACUUCAGUUUUUUUUGCAUUAAGUUGUCGGCGACUUACCUCACUACGCCACCAUGGAUGUGGUUUUGUUGUUGCGCAGGUCCACACGACAGUUCUCGUGUAUAAUUACUACCACCAGAAGCGCUUCCCGCUGCUUGAGUAUGCCAGCCACGAUCUGUUCUGCAUGUCCACCGCCCUCACCAACAAAAAGCUGCGCUUAUGUACCUGAACCAUCUCGAGAUGAUCAUGUCGCCCAUCUCCAAGGUCGUUGUUCUAGUUCUCAAUCGGACGAAGAAAGUUUGCUUGCUAGAGCGUGGAUUCCAAACCAAGGGCAUCUGGUCCUUGUUUGAGAAAGAUAUCAAGACUGACGUGUCAAUGCAGGGUCUAGUAUUAAAUCCAUGGCACUUCCUCUCCUUAUGAAGUGUACGUCAGAUUGCAUAGUUUUCUUCUUGAACAUACACUGCAUUGUAUGUAUGCACAUGCACCCUUAUUCCUUUCUUAUUACUAUAGAGCAACUAGAUGCCACCUUGUGGCUAGUGGCUACAUGUCCAUGCUUUCGAGCAAAAGCAAGGAGGCCAGAGGCAGACACGACUCACGAGGCACCACCACACAGGGCAGGUAUGCUCGGCAGCCGCUGUCCACCACUUCACCCUUUCGCGGGCUUGGUGCCUCACGGCCUCACCCAACCUAUGCAAGGACGAGGAGUACGGGGCCUAGCCCUCACCCUGCCUUCAAUCUAUGGGUGGAUUGGGGUGCUUGGGGCUACGGAUGCAAGUAGUACGGGCUGCGUGCCAAUAUUUUUUGCAGGCUGUGCGGGUGCCUGCUACACAAGCCCUUCUUUUUCCUAGCAACAGGGUCCUCGGUAGCCAGAGAAGUUGAUGAUUUCUUCUUAGCCAGUGCAGUGACAGGGAAAAACUGAGCUUGGUCUCAUGCACCGACACCGCAGCAGGCACCACGGGCAUGAUCGUAGGUGUAGUAGGGAUGGCCGGGGCCAUGAUGGUGGGCAAGUGGAGGAUUUCAGGGGCUUUGUUAAUUGCCCACUUUUGUUAGCAUGGUGUCCGCUCCAGUCUGCAAUAAAAAACAAUUCACUCGUGGGUAUCCAGCGGGUCCUUUUUUUGUGGUGCAGGCUAAGCAGGUUUGCGCGGACAGGCUCGCGCCGCUUGCAUCCUUACUUUGGGCAUUCGAAAUUCACAGCUAGCUUCUACAGGCUGAUCCAUAACAUUGUUCCGCUUGUGGAGUUGUGGCUUGGUAUAGCCUUGCGGGAUGCAAGCAGGACAGCCUGUGUCAAUAUUUUUUGCGGGUUAUGUGGGUGCAUACUACACAAGCACUUGCAUCAUCAUGGCAGUGGCACAGGUUUGGAGCCAGAGCCUGCAAAGCCCAGUUAGCACAUUGUCAGCAGCCAGAGCAGCAGCGGCUGUGCCCCUCUUCCUAGAGAUGGGGGCCUCGAUGGACGAUAUCUUCUUAGCCAGUAUGGUGGCAGGGGCCAAAAAUGGGCUUGGUCUCGAUCGAGCGCUAGCGUCCCAACAGGCAUCAUGGGCAUGGUCUCAGGUGGAGCAGGAUUGGCCGGGGCCAUCAUGGCGGGCAAGUGGAGGAUUUCACGAGCUUUGCUGCUUGCCCGCUUUUGUUAGGAUGAUGGCCUGCUCUACUCUACAAUACAAAAAUAAGUGGCCUUCGGUUGUCCCGGAUGUUUUUUUUGCGGGGCGGGCUAAGCAGUUUUGCUGGCCCGCCUGUGCCGCUUGCAUCCUUGGGGCAUUUAGAAUUCACGGCUAGAUUCUACAGGCUGAUCCAUUAUAAUGUUCAGCUUAGUGUUGAUCACACUUUUUUUUUGCAAUUGCCGAUCGAACUAUGGCUCUUGUCUAGAAUGAGAUAAAUAACCAUAGAUGUUUCAACUUCAAAUGAAAAAACAGGCGUAAAGAGCUGUUGGUGUUGGUGUUGGUGACACCAACAACUGUAGAACCAGCAAAAACAGAAAGAAGAAGAACACAAACCGCAAAAGGAAAUUUGAAGCCUUCAAGACUAAAGAUGCUACCUACGCAGAGCACGGGGAUUGUCAGAGUCCCAUAAAAGACUUUCAAGCCAGUAAGUCUAUCAAUCUUAUAGUACUCCAUUACUUCGAUUUUACUGAUCCAUUGUUGUUUCUCCUCUUCAUUAUGAUAAAGUCAAAACAUUUCAAGUGUGCCACAAGAUAUAAUUCUGGUAAAUAACUCUGUAUGAGCCUGAGAAAAAGAUGCGAUGAAAUCACACGUGAUAAGCUCAAUAGUAAUUAAUAUAUGCAAGCUUACUUGUUAAACCCAAACUUAAAGUUUUUUUUGCAUAAAAAUACUUCAACUUAAAGAAUUAAUUGUCUUUCAGACACUAGAUGAUGAUCCUAUAAUUGAAGCCCAUGUCUUGAAAAGCCAAAAUGAGAAAGUCAGGGAAAAGUCUAGUAAGGACAAUCCAAUAUACAAAAAAAAAGAAAUUUAUUUUUCCUUUUUGUGAGUUCUUCCUUAUUGAUGCUCCCAUUUCUUAAUCUGUAUACUUCAAUUUGCAUUUCAGGUGGCAUCACUGUUAACAUGAAUGUUCAGAGGUAUGCGAGACACUGCAAUUACUUCAGAAGAUGCGGUUCAAUUCAGUAUGUUACAUAUUGCAAUUCAUUUGUGAAAUUACAACAGUGCUUCUUGAUCACAUUCUUCUUUUCUUUGUUUACCAAAUUGUGUACUCAUCUUAGUCUAUCCACAGUUCAGCUCUGUGAGCAUUUUGUUUUUCUCGAAAACGCAGGAGAGCUGCGCUUCAUUAUAUUAAGAAGAAAGAAAAGGGCAAGAGCCCAAGCAACGCUACAACACACACACACACACACACACACACGAACCCACACUCCCCCUGAUUGAGUCUAGGAUCACAUUAGCGCCCGAGACAAAACAGCACAAGGCGACCACUACAAAAUAAAAGACUCUUCUAGCCACCAGGGAGGAGGGCAGUCAGGAAUGAAAGCCCUCGAGCCCCAGCCGUAGACCACAGGCAACGUUCCUCACAAGCCGCAAUCAAAGCACGACCCAAGUUUGGAGCUGCUCCGUCAAAAACGCACCCAUUGCGGUGGUUCCAAAUAGUCCAAGCUCCAAGGAUAAUGAGUGAGUUAAUUCCUUGCUUCGUCAACCCUAAACCCUUUGGCACUCUGAACUCAGCCUAUAUCACUCUCCUUCCUAAAAAGGAUGGUGCUGAUCAGCCUAAAGAUUUAAUAUAUAAGGAUGAGGACAAGAAUAAUGCUAUUUAAAAUAGGGCCAUGAUGGGUCCAUUCAGAAGAUUUAUCAAUGAUCUUGCUCUCAAGGAAAUUCCGUUGCACGGUUGCAAAUUCACGUGGUCAAAUCAGCAGGUUUCCCCUACGCUGGUGAAGUUAGACAGAGUCCUCUGCUCUGUGGACUAGGAGGAUAUAUUUCCUAAUUGUCUGCUUCAGAGUUUGGCUUCGGAUGAUUCAGAUCACUGCCCUCUUUUGCUUGGCCUGCGGGAUAGCACUCCGGGACAUCGCAAGUUUCAUUUUGAGUCCUUCUGGCCCAAACUUGGUGGUUUUCAGGAAGCCGUUUCCUCAGCGUGGACCUCUGUUCCUGCCGGUCCUUGUCCUUUCAUAACCUUGGACAAGAAAUUCAAGGCUACCACCAGAAGUCUGCAGAGAUCGAGUGACCGAAUGGUUGUCCAGGUGAACUUUCAGCUUGCUUUGGCUAGGGAAAUUUUACACCAUAGUCGCCAAUUAUCCCAUUUAGAAUUAUGGUUAAAAAAUAGUUUAAAAAGCACAGUCUGGCUCUCGCAUCCCUCCAACGUACCAUGGCUCGGCUGCGCUCAAGGAUUAACUGGCUCCGUGACGGGGAUGCAAAUACAAAGCUGUUUCACCUUCAUGCCCGUCAUCGGAAAAGAAAGAAUUUUAUUGGGAAAAUUGUGUCUGGUGAGCAUAUCUGCACUAGUCAUGAAGAUAAGGCUGCAGCUAUUGAUGUAUUCUAUGAAAAUCUAUUGGGUAAAUGUGAUGACAGGGAGUACACUAUCAAUUUAUUUGAACUUGAAAUCAUUUCACAUGACUUUGCUGAUCUCGAGCUCCCAUUUAGUGAGGAAGAAGUGUGGAAUACAAUUAAAAUGUUACCUUCAGACAAAGCUCCUGGACCAGAUGGCUUUACUGGACGUUUCUAUAAAGCUUGUUGGCCCAUCAUAAUGAGCUCUGUGAGCAUUUUGUGCUUGGAGAUAGAAGUGCUGAGUACGAAAUGGACAUUAAAAAAAAAAUUUGACAAGUAUUUUGCCUUUUCCCAACUAAAUCUUGAUAAAAUGGACAAUAAUAGUGUGAAAUCAAAUGAUUUGUGGCAACUUAUAUUUCAUUCCACAACGUUACUAAACAUAGCACUAGGGCUUUGUUCUCUUUGGCUUUGAUUUGUAUAUGUGACCUUAGUCACGAAUAAUGGAGUGGGAAUCACCAUCCCAUCCAUAGGCUGCCGAAUACAAGUGCAUAAACUUUACUUAGCCUCCCAAGGUCAACUAGCAAGAUAAAUUUAAUUCCCCUAGAAUAAUUGUAGACCAAUAUAUGUCAACAUAUCGUGUUACUGUGUGAUUGAUUUUUCUCUAAAACGCAGAAGAGCUGCACUUCAUUAUAUUAAGAAGAUAAAGGGCAAGAGCCCAAACAACGCCACAAACACCAUACACCCCCCCACACACACACUAACGCCCCAACAGAAAUGUUACAUUCGCAGCCAUAAGAAAACACACAGGGUGACCACUGCUAGGCUAAACAUUUCUAACUACCGGGGAGAAGGGCAGUCAGGAAUGAAAGCCCUCAAGCCCGAGCCAUAGACCAUAAAUGGCGCUCCUCGCUGGCUAUGAUCAGAGCGCUAGCAAAGUUUAGACCUGCUCCAUCGAGACACACCUAAUCAACCUCAAUCUUUUACCCUCAAGUUAUAUUAAACCAGUGCAUACUAUUUCAAACCAUUUGCUGAAAUGGAGAUGUCACCUAAAGUAACAUCAAUCCUAAUGAAAUAUGAGAAUAGCUGGAAGAUGAUGAAAGUUGUCAAUUGAAUUAGCUCUACAGAAGGAUGCCAAACCAUGAACAUAAAGAGGAAGAAGCUGAAAGAAGCCAUACUUCUACGCAACUAAUGCCAGACAAGAAACCUCAUUUGAUGUAUAAUAUUACUAUGGCUGCCACUACAAUCCUUUGUCUGAAAGUAGUUAUUGCAGGAACUAGAUGACAUAUGCCGUGAGAGCAACUGGAUUCGUCCAAGAUACAGACGACUUCCUUCAGUUAUGGGUGGUAUGUGGUUGAUAAUCAUUGAUUUUUCAAGUUCCUGCAUACUAUAGCAUGUAGAGUCCAUUGACCAUAUACGCAUCAGAAUGUUGCAGUCAGUUCUAGGCUUCAUAUUCUGUUCUUCUUCCACUAUAAAGAUGUUUGACACGCAUAUAGCAGGCUACAGAAUCAUAAAGCUACCCUUGAAGUUAGACUCUGAUAGGGUCUAUACGAGUUGUUCUUAUACCAUACUAUAUUCAUGAUCUUAGAAUGUAUACAACCAAAUAACAACUUGAAUUAGUCAAAUGUGCGCUGUUAAAUAUAAUCAGAAUCCCUUUUUGCUCCAACUCGGUUGCCUGGGCAAACUUUCUCAUAGCUUUUAAUUCCUACAUGUUUGAUCUUUUAUAGUUUGUACUCCUAUAUUGGCAGAUAAGUACCUGGCCAGUGUCCAGCUUAUGGGCCCACAUUUCAACUUGAGUGCAGAUGGUGAUAUGGUCACCCCUCAUGAGGCACGAGAUUCAGCAGCAUCCAGCAGGCCAUCUCGGCUUCAACAGAAGGCAAGGGAAGACUAGGAGAGCAGACCGGACAACCCCUGAUGCUGCAUCCCUGCUGAUACAAAUCAUCCUGAUCAUUUGAUUAGAAUGAAGGCAUUCAGAUUAUUUAGUAAAGCAUUUUUAUAAACAUAGGCAUUAAGCACACUUGUUGUGUUCAUGGGCAUGUCCAUGUGUGGAUUUCAUGGUUUUUUUGUGAUUUGUGCAUGAAAGAGCAGAUGUAAUUUGAUCUACAAAUUGAUUUAUUUGGUGACAGAAGGAGUAAAUCUUGAAACAGAAGGAAACAAAUGUGCUAGCAUAUUAUACUUGAAAAAUUAAGUAACAAUGGUUUAUCUAGGUAAAUUGCUAUUGUUGCUUCAUUUGUCUAGUAUAAUACGUUGAAGCACAUUGGGAUUACAAAAAUGAGUCUGGUUGGGGUUGAAUAGGUGAUCUACAAAAUGUAGACAACACUUUUGAGUGGAUAAUUACUUGUUGCUCAAUUGUUUUUGCAUCCAACUGAACAACACAAAGGUAAGUAAACCACAUACACUAGACAAUAAUAGACACAAUAGCAAGAAGAGAGAAUAUCAACAGCUUAACUGGGAGCAACUACAACAAUCAGAAAGUAUGCUAAUAUACCUUACUCUAGCAGCAACUACAAGAAGAACUAAACCAACUUACUAUCAGGCCACAACUACAAGUCUACAACUAGGCUACCAUUAAUUCCAUUAAGAUAUCAACUUGGUUAAGUGACCAAAGGAUGUAGAUGAUGAUCUCUAAGUAAAGUCCUUUGCUUGUUCGUACACUCACAAGUUCGCAAGACAAACAACCGGUGAAAGCGCAGUGGUGGCAAGCCCAAAAUAAUCACAACCUCAAUGAACUCAAAGAGACAAGCCAAUGUCCUACUUGUUGGGAUGGUCACAGAGACUUAUUUUAAUACUUGCCUCUCCUGGCAUUCACCAAUUUCAUGUUUGAAUUUCCACUAUGUUUAUGGCAAUUACAAACUUAUUGUUCAUAAUCAUGUCUUGAAGUAUUGCUUGUAUAAUUCCUAUUCCUAGAGAACCAAAUUUUUUAACAAAAGCAUGAUGAAUCCACCUUGAAGCUACUUGUAACUCGGACAUGGAGGUAGUUCAAAUAGUUUCGAGAGGUGAGGUGGUAAGAUGUCCAGUUUUGAAGUUUGAGAAAAAGGAUACCACAAAAAGUUCAGAGAGGUAAAAGAGACUUGUCCGAUGUACCAAUAGCUCAUCAUCCUUGUGUGUCCAACCAAUUUUAGACUAAACACGAGUAGUAGAUUGUUAUCCUUGCUGGCUCAACUUAGCCAAGAUGUUUCCAGUAUUGUUCCCCCAUUGGUUAUACUUUGAUGUGAUGGUUCCCUUGAACCACAUCAAGCCUAGUUACCUAUACACUUAAGUCCAAAACUCCUAAGUCCUUUGUGAUCCAUGUGAACUAUCAAACCAUCUGAUUGAAUAGGUUUGUUUCUAGUAUAUAUGCUCUCAUUUGUUUUCCAUGAGCACUAGACAUGGGAUGGAAAUAUUGUAUACCAUACACUACUAUAGGAAACAACUUGUCAAAAUGGCUUUUCCCUAGCAGGUAGCUAGUCCUCUUGUGCCAAAAGGCCAUCGAUCACUGGUGGCCUGAUUUGCUCAGUGGCAGCCGGAUCCAUGCCCCAGCGGCCGCCAUAUGGGCAGAUCUGCUCAGUGGUGGUCGGAUCCUAGUUCACGCUGCUAGAUCCAAGGCUAGGCUGCCAGAACCGGGCAAGGGAGGGAGGCCACAACUGUUUGUGCUACACGCCCCACGAUGUAGGAGAGGGUCAGACCCUACAAGAUGCUGCCGCUAGAGGAGUCAGGUCCCGUGCGUCACCACUGCCGGAGUAGGGCCAGGCCCUACAAGAUGCCGCUACUGAAUGAGGAGCCAGACCCUGCGCGCUGCUGCCACCAAAGGAGGUUCAAGCCCGAAGAGACAAUGUCGCUAGAGGAAGAGCCAAGACCCGCAUUCUGCUGCCGCCGUAGGAGGACCAGGCCCCGUGUGUGGAGGAGAAUGUAGUGCACUGCAGUGACCACGACCCUGAUAGGUGGUCGCGCUGCCACUCAACCACCACUCAGAUGGCCAUGUGCUGCCACCUCCCCCUCUACUCGAGAUUCACGGCGGAGGAGGAGAGGGCUCUAAACCAAGUCUGUUUUGACCCUCAUCAUGUGUCAUGGUGGAGAUUUCCAUGGGAAACUGCUCAAAAUUCUAAAGCAAGGGUACUACAUAGUGCAGCCUGUCCAUUGUACCUGUUGACAACCUGACAACCUGAUUCCAUCCAGCGAUGAUUUAUGAAACCUAGUGCGGCAAUGUAUUGACCCCACAGCCAUAACUGAGCGAGGCACGGAGGGCAUGCCCAAAUGCACUACCACGACACGCGAUGGAGAAGAGGGCUAGCCCAGUGUGCCAUGCAUUAGAGGAGGAGCGGGAUGGGUCAUGUGAGAUGCCGCCGCUAGAGAAGUAGCCGGGCCCUGCAAUGCUGCUGCUAGAGCAGGAGCCAGGCCUCGCAUGCCACCGCAGAUGUAGGAGGGCUGGGCCACGCAAGGCACCACCAAUGGAGGAAUCGGGACCCUCACGCUCCCCUGGAUAGAAGAGGAACAGAUCCUGCGCGUGGAGGAGAACGCUAUGCACUGCGGAGACCAUGCAUGGCCACCACUGCUCCGCUGCCAUGCAGGAGGCCAUGUGCUGCUGCUGCCUUCUUCGUUCAAGAAUCACUGUGGAGGAGGAGAGGGCCUCAAAUCCUAAGUCUUUUUGGGCCCUGCUCAAGAUUCAUGGUGGAGAUUUGCAUGCACUAAGAAACAGCUCAAGGCUCAUAAGCCAAGCGUCGCAGCACAACUCAGACAAAAAGCCAGUUCCUAGUACUACAAUAUAGAGUUAUAGACACAAGCACAAGGCCAGUUAGCCAGGCAGCCAGCCUUUGGCCGUCCUUGUGACAGGCCCCGUGUUGGACAAAACAACGUUUCCCUUUUCUUCCCCCACGGCACCCAGCACUCUGCACGAAACAGUGGCCUCGCCUUCCUAUUCCUGCCAUCUCACUCCCAGGCUCCAAGCUCCCAUCAGAAACAGCUGCCUCCCAGAAAGCCCCAACUACCCCUGUGGCACAGAACCCGAGCAGAGGUGGCACGGGACACUGCUUCGGUUCCAGUGAUCUGAUGGAGGUAGAAGGCAGCAGCGCCAGUAGCAGCAAGGAGGUAGUGAAGCUGGAGGAUGCGAUGGAGCGCUGCUACUAGAGCAUCUUGUGGUGCCAUGCCAGUGCUGUUGCUCGGCCAGGUCAUCGACCAAAAGAGGAGGCCCUAUCGGCGGAGACUCAGGAGGUCAUGGCUCAUCAGGUGAGCAAUCUUGUGUUUGACACAUAUAUUCCUCCUUAUCGUGGGUUGAGAUUAUGACACGGUUGUGGUGGAUCAGGGUUGAUGAAUGGAACAUGGUGCUUGCUUGCGCCUCCUCCCCGUAUAAGUUAUCCGUCCGCCGAGCAAAAGCAAAGCGGCAGAGCCUCCCCAUCCGCUCUUGAUCUUAAGAUCUGGAAAUGGGCGACCUCAAUCAAACUUGGCAGUGUUCUGUUCUGAUUUGGUUGCGAUGGAUUUUGUUUUCCAAAGCGAUUCAUUCCAUGGGUGGAAUGGUGGAUGUGGAUUUGGGUCGCGCGAAGCGCUACUGAUGUACUGCUACAUGCUUAGGGCAUUUGGAUGCAAGCAGCCUGCAUCAUGCAGCGCUGCCAGCCGGCUACACAAGCGCUUUCAAACUACAUGGCAGGUCAGGUGCCAGAGCCUGCCUAGUUCUUCUUAGUGACAGAGCAGCCGGAACAGGGGCGGAUACGCCCUUCUUCUUCCUAGUGACGGGGGCCUCGGCAGCCGUAGUGGAAGAUGAUUUCUUCUGUCACCGGUGCCACAGCGGGCCGGGCACCACGGUUAUCGCUGCAGCUAGUGGGGCAGGGGUGCCCUGGGCCGUGAGGCGGGGAAGGUUGGUGCGGUGACCAGCUCAAGAUUGGCCUUGGUGGAAGUCUCAGUGACGCCCAUGCACCUCAGACCUGCAUGGAAUCUCGUGAGUAGACAGAUUCUUUUUACGGCGACGGCAGAGUCUUCGCGUGUUUGUUGGUCUGUGCAGGAUUUCACGGCCUUUGCUGGUUGCCUACUUACGUAAGCAGGAUGGUGGCUUCUGUCUGUUAGAGUAUAUAUGAUAGAGUCCAGGUACAAUGUAACAUAGAUAUAGGAAUGUAUAUGUGAUUGAGAGGGAUUUGAUGAGUUGAACGAGAUAACCCCUAGGUCUCUCGGCUCCGUGUUUAUAUGGGCAAGGAAGAGCCCCUUGCGUGGCUUACAAUAGUCAGGGAUUUGUGGUUACAACCAAUCCUCCACAAAUCCCUCUCAAUCACAUAUACAUUCCUAUAUCUAUGUUACAUUGUACCUGGACUCUAUCAUAUACUCUAACACUGUCUGUAAUAUAAAAACAAGUGGCCCGUGGUUGUUCAACCGGUCUUUUCUGCAGACUUAGUGUUGAUCCAUGACAUUAGUGUUGAUCACACACUUUUUCCCUUUCUUUCUUUUUUAUUUUUUCAACUGCCAGUCGAGCUGUAACUUUCAUCCUGGCUCCAUCAUAACAAAUAUUGUGACUUAUUUGUUUCAUGCAUUGGGCUUUUGGUAUUCGUUUUUUGUUUUUUCCAAAAAAUUGUCAGCAACUUUCCUCACUACACCACCAUGGAUGUGGUUUUGUUCUUGCGCUGGUACACGCGACGGUUCUCCUGUAUAACUACUACCAUCGGAAGCAGUUCCUACAGCCCUGAAUGGUUCUGCAUGUUUGCCUCCCUCACCGUCAACAACAAAAAACUUCUCAUGUACCCGAACAAUCUCCAGAACCGAUAUGUCGAGAGGCGGGUUCGCGGUUACUAACAUGGCAAUCCUUCUCAAUCGGACAAAGAAAGUUUGCUUGCUCCAGCGUGGAUUCGAAACCAAGGGUGUCUGGUCCAUGUUUGAGAAAGAUAUCGAGAUUGACAUGCCCGUGCAGGGGUCAAGUAAUAAAUCUAUGGCACUUCCUUCUAAAGUGUACGUCCUUCAGGUUGCAUAUUCAGAGGUGGAUAUGAAAACAGAUUGGUGCAAUUUUUUUUGCGGGCUGUGUGGGUGCCUGCUACACAGACAGGGGCCUCAGUAGCUCUUAGCUAAACUAUUCCAUAAGUUAGUUAAGUUAUUUGUUCAGGAGUCGUCUAGAGUCAAGAUAGGGAACGUGCCAGGUUGGAGGCGUGCUCAACCUGGACACGGUCUGGUCGAGUCGGUUGGGUUCGCACCACGGUGCGCGCUGCAGCGCGUGGUGCACGCCACGGAAGAUUGGCGAUGCACACGGUGAACAUGGUGCGGAGAUACGCGGAGGCAUGUUCCGUGAUCUCAUCAUGUAUCCCAAUAAAUACAAACAAAGCAGGACCGAAAAACGCUGCAAUGGCAGCAACAAACCCUAGACUCUUUGUUCUCAUCUGUUAUCUCGCCACGGUCACCACCGUGCCGCCGCCGCUGCGUUCUAGCUCGUCGCAGGGCAUUGCCUGCGCUAACAACUAGUAUCGGAGCUUGGGAGGGCGGUGAGAAGCAGCCGAAGAAGAGAAGGGGUGAUCAAGAUCACCAGAGUCGAGCAGGGAAGUAGCCGGAGUCGUCAAGGAUGGGUACGUCGGAUGAUGACAAGGAGAAGGAAGUCAUGGAGCGUGCGUUCAACCAAGCGGCUGGAAAUCUCGUCUGGCUAACGUUGACGCGGACGAAUUAUUAGAAGUGGGCAUCUCAUGUCCAAUGUAAUUUCGAGGGGAUGUUCCUUUGGGAUGCAAUAGUGGAUGAGAAAGUCGAGCGACGCUGGGACAAGCUGGCUCUUGGAGCCAUGUUCCGCAGUGUGCCGGCGGAGAUGCAUUCUAUGCUCUUGAAGAAGAAAAUCGUGAAGGAGGCUUGGGAGGCGCUUAAAACUAUGCGUCUGGGAGCCAAUCAUGUGAAAGAAGUCAACGCUUAGAAGCUUCUCGCUGAAUUCGAGCAGAUCGCGUUCAAGCCGGAAGAAGCCAUCGAUGAUUUUGCCAUCAGAAUCUAGAAGCUAGCCAUAGACAUGGAGGGGUUAGGUGAGAAGAUUGAUGACUGCCCCACCGUCAAGAAAUUCCUUCAUGUGGUACCGACACGUAACAAUCAGGUGACCGAGAUGUUUAGUGACAUGAAGACUCUUACCAUCGAGGAGCUCGGUCACCUACGGGCGGCUGAAGAUCGCUUCGAACCAUCGGUGGAACAGGUCACUGAGAAGGCGCAAAAGCUCCUGUUAACUGAAGGGUGCAGGAAUCAUCCUCGACAUCGAGUCAGAAGGGUGGCAAUGUGGCCGCUAUGUCCGCAAGGACAAGAUUGGAGCACGAGGCGGAGGUGACGCGUGAGACUCUAGAGGCAAACUCACGUCCAUGGGAACGCCGAAGCGUCGAGGGCGUUGCAACAAGUGCAAAAUCUAUGGGCACUUUGCAAAGGGAGUGCAAAACUAAGAUGAAGGAGGAGAGGCACGAGGCCAUGCAUCAUGCCGCUACUGAUGUGGAGACUGGUGCGCUGCUAGUUGCCCAGGUGUGCAACGUGACAAGCACACAAGCGCAGCCCUCUCAUCGAAUGUUUCUGAGUCAGGAACGCGUAUUCCCGGUCGGGUACAAUGAAGGAGCCUGGAUCCUUGAUACUGGGGCCACGAACCAUAUGACGGGGAGUCGCAACGCGCUGGCCAGUCUCGACGAAAUCGUGUGUGGUGCAGUACGGUUUGGGGACGGCUCAACCGUGGAGAUCCAAGGAAUUGGAGCCAUGGCAAUCGCCAGGAAGAACGACAAACAUCGAGUCCUCACGGAGGUAUACUAUAUCCCAUCUCUGAAGUGUAAUAUCGUUAGUCUUGGACAGUUGGAGGAAGCAGGAUGUCGUGUCGAGAUUGACAUCGGCGUCAUGGAGGUUUUCGAGCGCCGACAGGCUGCUCAGCAGCAACUUGGCGUCUUGAUCAGGGCGGAGAGAAAGAACCGGCUGUACGUGAUGAAGCCGAAGCUAACUUCGCCCGUGUGUUUACUGACCAAGAUGGAGGACGUCUCAUGGCUUUGGCAUGCCAGAUAUGGGCACCUGAACUUCAGGUCGCUCAGGGAGCUCACGGCUAAAGCGAUGGUGGAAGGGCUGCCCCGGAUCAGCGGGGUAGAGCAGGUGUGCGAUGGCUGUGUUCUUGGCAAGCACCACAAAAGGCCGUUUCCACAAGCUUCAGUGCACCGCGCUGAAGCUGGGCUUGAACUUGUCCAUGGUGAUCUAUGUGGACAGAUUACAGCAGCAACCCUGGGUGGCAAGUCUUAUUUUUUAUUAAUAGUUGAUGAUUUCAGUCAGUAUAUGUGGCUUGAGUUACUAUCAACAAAGAGCGAAGCUUUAGCAUAUUUCAAGAAGAUCGUUCUGGCAGCAGAAGUGGAAUCAGGCCAUCGACUGAAAGCAUUCAGAACAGAUUGUGGGGGUGAAUUCAAUUCGGGUGCAUUUGUGACUUUCUGCAGUGACCACGGCGUGAAGCACAACACCACGAGACCCUACACGCCUCAGCAGAAUUGGGUGGUUGAGAGGCGGAAUCAGUCUGUCGUUGAGAUGGCACGCUGUUUGCUGAAAGCAAUGAAAGUGCCAGCUAAAUUUUGGGGUGAGGCCGUCAACACAGCAGUGUUUCUAUUAAACAGAGCCCCAACUAAAAGCUUGAAUGGGAAGACGCCCUUUGAGUCAUGGUUUGGAAAGAAACCCGGUGUCAGACAUCUACGCACUUUCGGAUGCACUGCAUAUGCUAAAAGGUUGGGACCCGGGGUGAAUAAACUUGCUGACAGGUCAAUCCCAGGAGUUUUCCUUGCCUAUGAGCUAGGUACCAAUGGGUAUCGCGUUUAUCAUCGAUGAGAAGAGGCGUGGAAUUGGGAGGAGCAAGGCAGCAGCGUGAGCAAUGGAGUAUCAGCACCCGACACGUUCAUGGUUCAGUAUUCAGAUACUGUACAUAGUCCGACAAUAGAGCUUGAUCCAGGAUUGGAUGCUGAUUUCAGCAGCGGUGCACCGUCUCCGGGUCAAUCUGCUGCACCAAUUCCACCUGAGGGAGAUAUGGGUGGAUCACCACCACCACAGACUCCGGUCUCUAGUGCAGGCCCAGGACAUCAAAUCCAAUGGGCGACACCUCCAACUGAUGCAUCUGUAGGAACAGAUGAAGCACCGAGUAGGUACAGGACUGUGGCAGAUCUGUUGGACUCGACAGAAAUUAUGGAGAAUGUUGAGUGCAGUGCAGUAUGCCUAGUUGCUGCAGGUGAACCGAGUUCAGUGGAGGAGGCUAUGACUGAAGAAUGCUGGAGAAAUGCCAUGAAGGUAGAGAUGCAGGCCAUAGAAGACAACAGAACCUGGAAUGUUAGUGAGUUGCCAAAAGGACAGAAAGCCAUUAGACUCAAAUGGGUCUUCAAAUUGAAAAAGGAUCCAGAGGCAAAGGUAGUCAAGCAUAAAGGAAGGUUAGUCGCCAAGGGUUAUGCUCAAGUGCAGUUAGUGGAUUUUGAAGUGGUUUUUGCACCAGUUGCCAGGAUAGAAACAGUAAGGGUGUUAUUGGCCCUAGCAGCAAGGGGAGGUUGGGAAGUUCAUCACAUGGAUGUGAAGUCUGCUUUUCUCAAUGGUGAUCUGACAGAAUCAGUUUAUGUGAAGCCGCCUCCUGGUUUCAUUGUUGGCACAGGUGACAAAGUUUUGAAGCUCAGAAAGGCACUGCAUGGCUUAAGACAGGCACCAAGGGCCUGGAAUGCUAAGCUUGAUAAAGAGCUAAUUGCCCUAGGCUUUGCAAAAAGCAAGUUGGAUCAUGCUGUAUAUAGAAGAGCCAACAAAGAAACUUUUCUUAUUGUAGGGGUGUAUGUCGAUGACCUGAUAAUCUCAGGACCAUGUGUCAGAGACAUUCAACAGUUCAAGUCAGAGAUGAAAACAAAGUUCAGUGUCAGUGACUUGGAUCUUCUUAGCUAUUAUAUGGGGAUAGAAGUGAAGCAAGAAGGAAAUGGCAUUACACUGAGUCAGAGUGCAUAUGCAAACAAGAUCUUGGAAUUUGCAGGUAUGAUGAACUGCAAUGCAAUUGCCAGUCCAAUGGAUUCUAGGCUCAAGCUCUACAAGAAAAUGGAGGAUGAAGUUGUGAGGCCAACAAAAUACCGAAGUCUGAUUGGCAGUCUUAGAUACCUUGUCAACACCAAACCAGACAUGGCUUAUGCACUGGGCGAUGUCAGUAGGUACAUGGAGGCGCCAAGUCAAGCUCAUUGGGGAGCAGUGAAGCAAAUCUUCAGGUACUUGAAGGGUACCAUGGAUCAUGGCUGCAGGUAUGAACGAGGAACUGAACUGAAACCCCUCUUGCUAGGGUACAGUGACAGUGAUUUCGCUGGAGAUGUUGAGGACAGGAAGAGUACCACAGGAGCUGUUUACUUUGUUGGUGGCAAUGUGGUUACUUGGUCAUCUCAGAAACAGAAAACUGUUACACUCUCGUCAUGUGAAGUGGAGUAUGUAGCAGCAGCUACGGCAGCCUGCUAAGGAGUCUGGUUGAGUCGACUUGUUGGCGACAAAGGAGGCGUGUGUAAAGCUGCUCAUGGACAACAUGUGUGCAAUCGCCUUGAGUAAGAAUCCGGUGCAUCAUGAUAGAAGCAAGCACAUUGACACAAAGUUUCAUUUUAUCCGGUAAUGCAUCGAGGAGGGCAAGGUGGAGGCAGAACACAUUGGCACGAUUGAUCAGCUGGCCGACAUCUUCACCAAGGCCCGGGGGCGAGCAAGGUUCAUUGAACUGAGGAGCACGAUCGGCGUUGUUAAGGUGCAAUAGGUUUAGGCGGUGAACUGUUAGCUAAACUAUUGCACAAGUUAGUUAAGUUAUUUGUUCAGGAGUCGUCUAGAGUCAAGAUAGGGAACAUGCCAGGUCGGAGGCGUGGUCAACCUAGACACGGUCUGGUCGAGUCUGUUGGGUUCGCACCACGGUGCGCGCUACAGCGCGUGGUGCAUGCCACGGAAGAAUGGCGACGCACACGGUGUGUAACAUGGUGCGGAGAUACGCGAAGGCAUGUUCCGUGAUCUCAUCAUGUAUCCUUAUAAAUACAAACAAAGCAGGACCGAAAAACGCUGCGACAUUUGACAGCAACAGACCCUAUACUUCCGCGGUCACCACCAUGCCGCCGCCAGUGCGUUCUAGCUCGUCGCAGGGCAAUGCCUGUGCUUACAGUAGCUAGAGAAGACGACGAUUUCUUCUUAGCCGUUGCGCUGGUAUGGGCCAAACUGUGCUUGGUCUCGAGCGCCAGCGCUGCGGCAGACACCAGGGCACGGUCGCAGGUGGAGCAGAGGUGGUCGGUGCUGUGGUGGCGGGCAAGUGGAGGAUUUCGCGAGCUUUGCUGAUUGCCCACUUUUGUUAGCAUGAUGGCCCACUCCAGUCUGCAAUACAAAGACAUGUGGCCUGCGGUUGUCGAGUAGGUCUUUUUUGUGGGGCAAGCUAAGCUGUUUUGUGGGCAGGCCCUGCGCCGCUUGCAUCCUUGGCGCAUUCGGAAUUCACGGCUAGAUUCUACAGGCUGAUCAAUAACAUUGUUCAGCUUAGUUUUCAUCACACACUUUUUCCCUUUUUUUAGCAUUUGCCAAUCGAGCUAGGGCUCUCCUCUAGAAUGAAAAAAUAACCAUAGGUCUUUCAACUCCAAAUAAAAAAUCGCAGGUAGAGAUAGCAGUUGGUGAUAUUGACACCAAGAACUGUAGAACCAGCAAAAACAAAAAGGACAACAACACCAACCGCAAAAGAAAUUUUCAAGCCUUCAAGACUAAAGUUGCUCCCUACGCAGAGCAUGGGGAUGGUCAGAGCCCCAUAAAAGACUUUCACGCCGGAAAGUCUAUAAAUCUUAUAGUACUUCACUACUUCGAUUUUACUGACCCAUUGUUCUUUCUCCUCUUCAUUAUGAUAAAGUCACUUAAUUUCAGUUGUCCAAAUGGACAAAAACAGAACAGAGAACAACUCAAAUGUUACAAAUGUGCCACAAGAUAUCAUUCCAGCAAAGAACUCUUUGUGAGUUUGAGAAAAAGAUAAAAUGAAAUCACACGUUAUAUUUCUAGUUCAAUAGUAAUUAAUAUAUGCAAGUUUAUUGGUUAAACUUCAACUUAAAUAAUUCUUUUAAAUACUUCAACUUAAAGAAUUAAUUAUCUUUCAGACACUGGAUGUUGAUCCUAUAAUUGAUGACUACGCCUUGAAAAGCCAAAAUGAGGAAGUCACUGAAAAGUCUGGUAAGUUCAAUCCAUUACCAGACUAAAAGAAAUUUAUUUUUCCUUUUAUUGAUUACUUCCAUAUUGAUGCUCGCAAAUCUUAUUCAGGUGGCAUCACAGGUAACAAGAAUGUUCAGAGUUAUGCGACACUACAAUUACGUCAGAAGAUGCAAGAUGAUACAGUAUGUUUUUUUUGAACGACUGAUGAUACAGUAUGUCACAUAUUGCAAUUCAUUUGUGAAGUUACAGGCGUUGAUCAUAAUUCUUUUUCUUCUUGAUAACCUAAUGUGUACUCAUCUUAGUCUAUCCACGUUUCAGCUCCUGAGCAUUUUGUGCUUGGAGAUCGAAGUGCUGAGUACGAAAUGUACAUUCAAACAAUCUUGACAGGUAUUUUAACUUUGCAGAUUUAGAUGAAAUGGACAAUAACAGUGUGAAAUCAAAUGAUUUGUGGCAAACAACUUGUCUUUGCAUUCCACAACGUUAAUAAACAUAGCACGAGGGCCUUGUUCCCUUUGGCUUUGAUUUGUAUAUGUGAACCUUAGUCCCGAAUAAUGGAGUUGGGCAUCACAAUCACAUCCAUACAAGGUUGCAGAAUAUAAGUGAAUGAACAUUAUUUAGCCUCCCAAAGACAACUAGCAAGAUUACUUCAGUUCCCUUAGAAUGUAGACCGAUACAUCAACAUAUCUUUCAACUAUGUGAAUGUUUAUUUUCUCUAAAAUGUAGAAGAGCUUCACUUUAUUAUAUUAAGAAACACCAGACACAGACACACCACACACCAAACACAUCACACACACACACACACACACACACGCACAUACACACACACACACACACACGCACACACAUCUCUGCGCCAACCCUGAUCUCUAAGACUUAAUCACCAGAUUCUAAGGAAACAACGACCGAGCGGGCUAAAGAACUAGAAGCCCCAAGCAGUGAGCAAGGAGAGACCUUUUGCUCCUGCCAAGUACCACCAAUGGGCUUCAUUUCUAGCCAUACUCAGGGCUGUAACAAUGUUUGGAUCAGCCCCAUUAAAGACACAGUAAUUACGGUGUUUCCAGAUGCUCCAGGCCCCAAGGAUGAUGAUGGAGUUUAAGCCUUUUCUUACAUCCCCAGUGGUAGCUGCUUCCGCUUUUUCCCACCAGUCCUCCCAAGACGAAUCAUUGGGCUGAGGUGUUAGUGAAGAGAGUCCGACACGCUCCAAGAGAGAAAACCAGAACUACCUAGCAAAAAUGCACCUAGUCGGUGCUGAAUGUUUUCCUGUUCCUGGUCACAAAGCAGACAUUUGUCUGGGUGGGGAAGUCCUCACCGAGCAAGCCUGUCAGCAGUCCAACACCAGUCACGGGAGACCAGCCACAUGAAUAUUAUACCAUACUAUAUUCAUGAUUUUAGAAUGUAUACAUCCUAAUCACAAUUUGACUUGGUUAAUAUAAUUGGAAUCUCUUUUUGCUCUAGCUUGGUUGCCUGGGCAAACAUCCUACAUGUUUGAUCUUUUAUAGUUUUUACUCCAAUAUUGGCAGAUAUGUACCUCGCCAGUGUCCAGCUCUUGGGCCCAGAUUUCAACUUGAGUGCAGAUGGUGAUAUGAAGGUCACCCCUCAUGAGGCACGAGAUUCAGCGGUAUCCAACAUGCUGUCUCGGCUUCAACAGAAGUCAACGAAAGACUAGGAGGUGCAUCACUGUUGAUACAAAUCAUCUUGAUCAUUUGACUAGAAUGAUGACAUUCAAAUUAUUUAGUCGAGCAUCACUUGUGGUGUUUGUGGGCAUGUCCAUGUGUGCAUUUCAUGGUUUUUUGUGGCUUGUACAUGAAGGAGCAGAAGUACUUUGAUCUGGAUAGCUACAACGUGGUGUGUUGACUCACUACAAGCUCUUGUUAUCUCAAGCACUGUUGACUCACUAUUUGUGGUCGCAAUUUUUGUUCAUAGUGUAGCCUCAGUCAUGCUCGUGUUCUAGUUUAUUUUGGUGCUUCUGCGUUUCGUUUCUUGUUUUUUUAAAUCAGUGGUUUGUCAUUAGUGCUUUGGUGAGUGUAGGCUCACCAAUGCAUUGUGAUUGCUUUCCUCAUCAAAUAAGUGCAUAAGCAUGGUUGUGAAAAAAAACACAUGCCAUCCACAGAAAGUCAAGCAAGAGUGGAGUGCCGUUAAAUUCAAUUUUGUUCAUUCUAAACCAUACUUUUGUGGAUGACAUGAUUUAGAUCAUUCUAAACCAUUUUUGCGGGGUGGGCUAGGCAGUUUUGUGGGCAAGCCCAUGACUCUUGCAUGCCUAGGGCAUUCUCAGCUAGAUUCUACAGGCCGAUCCAUAACAUUGUUUAUCUUAGGGCCUGUUUGGCACAACUCACAAGUUUUUUUUUUGCCAAACACUUAUUUCUAAAACAGCUUCAUGGGUGAAGCUGUUUUUCUUCUCCUCUCACAAAGACAAGAGUUGGAAUGAAGCUAAAAAAGUAGCAUAUUGCAGCUCUUUCCCUUAUUCUCUCUCCCAUCUAUGCGGAAAGUAAUUGAUGAAGCUAUUUUACCAAACACUUUUUGCAAAACAGCUUAGCUUCAUCUAGAAAGAUGCUCAUGAAGCUAAUUUCUAAAAGACAGCUUUACUAUUGAAGUUGAGUUUUGCCAAAUAGAGCCUUAGUGUUGAUCACACACUUUUUUUUGCAAUCGCCAUCAAACUACGACUCUCCUCUAGAAUAAAAAAUAACCAUAGUUGUUUCAACUCCAAAAAAAGCAGGUAGAAAAAGCAGUUGGUGAUGGUCACACCAAGAACUGUAGAUCCAGCAAAAACAUUAAUGACAACAACACAAACCGCAAAAGAAAAUUUGAAGCCAGUAAGUCUAUCAAUCUUAUAGUAAUUCAUUACUUUGAUUUUACUGAUCCGUUGUUGUUUCUCCUCUUCAUUAUGAUAAAGUCACUUAAUUUUAGGUGUCCAAAUCGACAAGAACAGAACAGAGAACAACUCUAAAAUUAGAAAUGUGCCGAAAGAUAUCAUUCUGGUAAAGAACUAUUAUGAACUUGAGAAAGAGAUGCAAUGAAAUUGCGCGUGAUAUUUCUAGUUCAAUAGUAAAUAAUAUAUGCAAGUUUAUUUGUUAAACUUCAACUCAAAGAAUUAAUUGUCUUUUAGGCACUGGAUGUUGAUCCUAUAAUUGAAGACCUUGCCUUGAGAAGCCAAAAUGAGGAAGUCACUGAAAAGUUUAGUAAGGAUAAUCCACUACUCUAAAAAAGAAAUUUCAUUUUAUUGAGUACUUCCAUAUUGAUGCUCCAAAAUCUCAAUCUGUAUACUUCAAUUUCAUUUGAGGUGACAUCACAGGUAACAUGAAUGUUUAGAGGUAUGUGGGACUACGAUUACUUCAGAAGAUGUGAGAUGAUACAGUACGUUACAUAUUGCAAUUCCUUUGUGAAGCUACAGCAGUGCUUGUUGAUCAUAAUUCUUCUUUUCCUUGAUAACCUAAUGUGUACUCAUCUUAGUCUAUCCACAUUUCACCUACAUGAGCAUUUUGUGCUUGGAGAUCAAAGUUCUGAGUACGAAAUGGACAUUCGAACAAUCUUGACAGGUAUUUUACCUUUUCACAACUAAAUCUAGAUAUAAUGGACAAUAACAGUGUGAAAUCAAGUAAUAUGUGACAAACAACCUGUCUUUCAAGUCCACCAUGUUACUAAACUAUAUAUCACGAGCCCCUUGUACUCUUUGGCUU